AAAGCUGUCUUGAUUUUUAGUUCGAAUACAACCCGGGAAACCGUGGCCUAUCAUCCUUUCAGUUUUAUGUACAAAUCCAGA
rnacentral:rRNA from 13 species